rnacentral:rRNA from 1 species
CCUACGGGGGACUGCAGUGGGGAAUAUUGGACAAUGGGGGGAACCCUGAUCCAGCCAUGCCGCGUGUGUGAAGAAGGCCCUCGGGUUGUAAAGCACUUUCAGUGAGGAAGAACGCCUGGUGGUUAAUACCCAUCAGGAAAGACAUCACUCACAGAAGAAGCACCGGCUAACUCCGUGCCAGCAGCCGCGGUAAUACGGAGGGUGCGAGCGUUAAUCGGAAUUACUGGGCGUAAAGCGCGCGUAGGUGGCUUGAUAAGCCGGUUGUGAAAGCCCCGGGCUCAACCUGGGAACGGCAUCCGGAACUGUCAAGCUAGAGUGCAGGAGAGGAAGGUAGAAUUCCCGGUGUAGCGGUGAAAUGCGUAGAGAUCGGGAGGAAUACCAGUGGCGAAGGCGGCCUUCUGGACUGACACUGACACUGAGGUGCGAAAGCGUGGGUAGCAAACAGGAUUAGAUACCCGGGUAGUC